GUUUGACCUCAAAUCAGGUAGGAG
rnacentral:rRNA from 1 species